UGCCAUGGGCGAAGCCUGAUGCAGCGACGCCGCGUGAGGGAUGACGGCCUUCGGGUUGUAAACCUCUUUCAGUAGGGAAGAAGCGAAAGUGACGGUACCUGCAGAAGAAGCGCCGGCUAACUACGUGCCAGCAGCCGCGGUAAUACGUAGGGCGCAAGCGUUAUCCGGAAUUAUUGGGCGUAAAGAGCUCGUAGGCGGUUUGUCGCGUCUGCCGUGAAAGUCCGGGGCUCAACUCCGGAUCUGCGGUGGGUACGGGCAGACUAGAGUGAUGUAGGGGAGACUGGAAUUCCUGGUGUAGCGGUGAAAUGCGCAGAUAUCAGGAGGAACACCGAUGGCGAAGGCAGGUCUCUGGGCAUUAACUGACGCUGAGGAGCGAAAGCAUGGGGAGCGAACAGGAUUAGAUACCCUGGUAGUCCAUGCCGUAAACGUUGGGCACUAGGUGUGGGGGACAUUCCACGUUUUCCGCGCCGUAGCUAACGCAUUAAGUGCCCCGCCUGGGGAGUACGGCCGCAAGGCUAAAACUCAAAAAAAAUUGACGGA
rnacentral:rRNA from 1 species